rnacentral:rRNA from 1 species
GCCCAGACUCCUACGGGAGGCAGCAGUGGGGAAUAUUGCACAAUGGGGGGAACCCUGAUGCAGCGACGCCGCGUGAGUGAAGAAGUAUUUCGGUAUGUAAAGCUCUAUCAGCAGGGAAGAAAAUGACGGUACCUGACUAAGAAGCCCCGGCUAACUACGUGCCAGCAGCCGCGGUAAUACGUAGGGGGCAAGCGUUAUCCGGAUUUACUGGGUGUAAAGGGAGCGUAGACGGCAGAGCAAGUCUGAAGUGAAAGCCCGCGGCCCAACUGCGGGACUGCUUUGGAACUGCGUGGCUGGAGUGCAGGAGGGGCAGGCGGAAUUCCAGGUGUAGGAGUGAAAUCCGUAGAUAUCUGGAGGAACAUCAGUGGCGAAGGCGACUAUCUGGCACAUAACUGACGCUGAGGAGCGAAAGCGUGGGUAGCAAACAGGAUUAGAUACCCGCGUA